rnacentral:rRNA from 1 species
UACGUAGGGUGCAAGCGUUGUCCGGAAUUAUUGGGCGUAAAGAGCUCGUAGGCGGUUUGUCGCGUCGAAUGUGAAAACCCGGGGCUCAACCCCGGGCCUGCAUUCAAUACGGGCAGACUAGAGUUCGGUAGGGGAGUCUGGAAUUCCUGGUGUAGCGGUGAAAUGCGCAGAUAUCAGGAGGAACACCGGUGGCGAAGGCGGGACUCUGGGCCGAUACUGACGCUGAGGAGCGAAAGCGUGGGGAGCAAACAGG